rnacentral:lncRNA from 1 species
GUUAUAAUUGCCUUUGAUACAUUAAUAAUUGGAAUAAUCCGAAUGAAACAACUGGAUUAUUCGGGUUAAUCUUAAUCAAAUUGGUUACGCUUCUGCGCAUGUGCACCAUUAGGAAAUUUAAUUGUGCAUCCGAAAGUUUCAAAAUAAUGAUAUCAUUUAUUCAUACAAUCCAUCUCGUGUUAAAUUCAAGUAUGUACGAGGAGAGUAUGACUUCAAAUCAAUUAUGCUUGAACAAAAAUAUAUGGAUUUAGUCAUGUUAGUUGUUCUGUCUGUGUUCAGAUCUUUAACGCAAUCAAAUCAUAUUCCAGUUUUGGACAUGUGUUUUUUAAAACGAAGGUUAAAAUAUUUUAUGUCAAAGAGAAGAUGUGGUAUGAUUGCCAAUGAGACUACUCUCCACAAGAGAUCAAAUGACACAGAAGUUAACAACUAUAGGGCACAGUAUGGCCAUCAACAAUUAGCAAAGCCCAUACCGUAUAGUCAGCUAUAAAAGGCCCCGAAAUGACAUUGUAAAACAAUUCAAACGAGAGAUCUAACAGUCCAAUCUAUCAAAAACAAAUAUGUAACACAUAAACAAAGGACAACCACUGAAUGACCGACUCCUGACUAGGGACAGGAACAUACAUACAGAAUGUUGCGGGGUGAGACAUAAGAG